UCUCCACCUCUUCAUUCCGGGAUGAAGCUCAAGUCACUCUAUCUGUCCAGUGGUCAGAGGGACGUCAGCCACUGAGGAGUAAUAAAAUACUAGAGAAGGCUCUUCAGACAUGGGUCAAUAAAAAACAAAUGAAUGGAAACUACUCAGUUUCCAAAGUCUCAGAAGAUGGGAGAGCUGUGAUUAAGAUUAAACCAAGACCAGGUAUAAAACAAGACAUGACCGAGGGAUUUCAUAACCCAGCACCUAGCUGCUGUUUUUAACUGUCUCAAAGAUAUUAAAUGUUGGAUGGCCCAAAGUUUU